GAACAAUGGCGCAUGCGCACGGGUUCUUUUUUUCCUCUCGACGACUCUGGGGGCCAGGGGGUGUGCCAGCAGCCGCCACCGUGUCUUGUGUAGCCGAGUUUGUCUGUGCUUUCUUUCUAUUUCUAGUCUACGAUUUACACGGUGAUCCGCAGUCUGUUCCAUUAAUAAUUAUUGAAAGCUCAAAAUGAUUGUUCAGGCAAUGGAGAUUGCAUUAGAGUGCGGCAAAGAACAAGGUAAUGGGGCCCCUGCUCUCCAGGAAGUUACCUGCUAAGGAGUUCCUGAACUUUCAUUUGGCAAUCAGUGAUAUAAGAGUUUGUUAAAUUGGUUGUUUUGGGUUUAUAGUAAUGAGCUAUAAAUCGGUGGGGGUGUUUGGAUCGGACUGUUUAAUUUGACAGACAAAACUCGCAAUCAGGAUGGUUAGAGAAAGUCAGAUGGCAAUUAGGGUGUUUAGAGAAAACAGGGCAACAGUUGAGCUGACACUUUUAGUAACAGACGGCGGUGAAUAAAAUUAGAAUCAAGGUAAAACAUUAGACUAGGAAGGACUUUGAUGUGUUUCAAAAACGAAGUUGUCCUGUGUGUGUGUGUGUGUGUGUGUGUGUGUGUGGAGAAGGCCCAGGUGAUGAUUAUGGAAAGGAACAUGGACUUUCCUCACCCCCAAGUGUUCUGACAUCUCCAUUGCUUACCUUCACAUUUCCAGGCCUUUUCAUUUUGUAGUGCCUGGUAUGUGUGUGGGGGCAGGGGCGGGGGUCGUCUUGAACCUCUUAUCUACAGCAGUGCCCUAUGGGAUAACGUUCAAUCUAAUGGCUUCACAUGCAGUCUACACACUUAUAAUUCCCAAAUUACAGCCCAAACACGGACUAUUAGUUAAUCCCAGACUCACAUAUACCCAACAUUUCAACAUGAACACAUCUCAUACCUAACUCCCCCACGUAGCCACCAAAACCUAUUCCUGCAUUCUUCAACUCAGUGAAUACUAAUUCCAUUCAUCCAAUUGCUGACCCCCAAACCUUGGAGUCAUCCUUGGCUUUUUCUCUUACACUGUAAAUCCAAUCCACCAACAAAUCCUUUAGUUCUAACCUUUAGGGCACAUCCACAUCCAAUCAAUUCACAUAAUCUACCAAGUUAUCCCUAGUCCAAACUAUUGUCUCUCACUUUAAUUUUUGGAGUAACUUCUUCACUAACCACUUUGUUUCCCCUCUUUAUAGUCAUCUGGAAGAGAAGAAUAUGUACAUUUAUGACAAACAGAGAUAAAUCUAUUCUGGACUGGAAAUAAAUGUUUCAAGAUAAUUCUCUUUGAUAUCAUCCAUUUUAAUGCUGUUGCUGCCAUGGUUUCAUAAGUGAUUGUCAGGUGGUAUAACAAAAGAUUUUGAAGAGAAACUGCCUUUAAAGUCUACUUCUAGGCACACCAGUUUUUACCCCAUAAGACCAGCAGGUGCCUCAAUCUGGGUCCCAGGUGACUUGGAGCCAGAGCUAUGUCUCCACCCUUUGCUGUGUUCUUCAAACAGAAGCCAGAGAAACUUUCAAAUUUUGUUUAAAACCCACUGAGUCUUGCUAUCUCGCCCAGAGUAAAGGAUAUAAUAAUAUGAUGCCCUAAAAAGCUCUAGGUCAACUGGACACUUAACCAUUCUGCCCCAUCUCCUGUAUCUCCUCCUCUUGAUCUCUUGACCCAAGCCACCAAGAUUUCCUUUCAGUUCCUUAGAUGCUCCUUUUCCUUCCAUUUUGGCCUGUUAUUUGCUAUUUCCCUUAUUUAAAGUAUGCUUUGCCUGAUUGCCUACAUGGCUUUUUCCUUAUUUUUUUCAUGUUUUGUUUAAAUGUAAUCUGCUCAGUGAAAAUUUCUCUUGACCAAUCUAAAAGUGUAACUCACCUGCCUACGAGAUUUCUCAUCUCCCUUUCCAGCUUAAAUUUUACCACCAUAUUUUACUUAUUUACUUUGUUUAUUGUCAGCCUUGCUUCAAUGUAUUAUCAGCUCCACAAGACCAAGGAUUUUGUCUAUUUUGUUAAAACUGCUUCUUCAAUGCCUAAACAAUACCUCAAAAAUAUUUUUGAGUGACUAUAUGAAGAAAAGAAGGACUAAGACUUUUACUUUGGAGAGUGAUAUUAUAUAAAGAUUCCAAAAUAAUUCAAGCUUAUUCUAGCUGUUUCAUGAUAAAUAGGUUAUAAAAGGGCAGGAGUAAAAACAGCUAGAUCAGUUUUAUGUUCUUGAAGACUGGGUGAGAGCAUGUGAUAGUUUGGAGAAGCAUAUAAAUACAGGUAGAAGAGAUGAAAUUUCAGAUGCACUUUGGUGGUAGACCUGACAGGACUUGAGUUGAAUGUGAUGGAUAAAGAAUAAAAAUGAAAAUAAUUUCUAGAAAUACUCAUCAAUAGGAGAAACUAUACACAUAAUCACAUAUCAAUUUUCAGAAAAUUAUACUAAGUGAAAAAGUCAGUACCUAAAGAUUAUAUACUACAUGCAUGUUAUAUGACAUUUGGUGGUGGCAGGGUGGGGAAUUGAAUCUUGGAGUACUGUACCACUGAGCUACAUCUCCAGUCCUUUUUUAAAAAUUUGAAACAGGAUCUCACUAAGUUACUGAGGGCUGGCCUUGAAUUUAUAUUCUCUGCCUCAGCCUCCACAAUAGCUGCAGCAUUCUUAAAAAAAACCCAAAAUUAUAGAAAUGGAGAAUUGAUUAGUGGUUGACAGGAGUUAAGGAGAGUGUAGUGGUAGGGAAGGGAGGGUGACUAGAAAGACAAAAGCAAUAGAAAUCUUUGUGGAAUGGAAUGUUCUGGAUCUUGACUAUCUCAGUAUCCUGGUUGUGCUAUGGUUUUUGUUUUAAACAGUUUUGUUAAGAUACAAUUCACAUACCGUACAAUUUACUCAUUUAAAGUGUACCAUUCAUUACCUUAUUAGUAUAUUCACAGAUAUGUGCAACUAUCACCACAAUUUUUUUUUUCUGGUACUGGGAAUUGAACCCAGGGCUGCUUUACCUCUGAGUUAUAUCCCUGGUCCCUUUUGAGACAGAUUCUUGCUAAAUUGCCCAGGUUGGCCUCAAACUUGUGAUCCCUCUGCCUCAGUAUCCCGAGUAGCUAGAUUACAGGCAUGCACCACUGUUCUCAGCUCUAUAGUCAGUUUUAAGAAAAUUUUCAUCACUUCAGAAAAAAGUUUUGUACCCUUUGAUUAUCAUACCCCUCUUCUGUUUUUCUCCCCCCUACAGCUUGAUGCAUUCACCUCGAAUCUGUAUAGAUUGCCCUAUUCAGGAGAUUAAUAUGAAUGGGAUUGUAUAAUUAUGUAGCCUUUUGUGUCUUUUCAGUUUGUAUGAUGAUUUUGAGUUUCAUCCCAGUAAUAGUAUGAUAUCAGCACUUCUUUCUUAUGGCAGAAUAAUAUUUCAUUGCAUGGAUAUACCACUGAUUGUUUGCCCACUCAUCUAUUAAUGAACAUUAUAACUGCUAAAUUGUGGGGGAUAGUCUGUGUGACCUCUAAGAGUUGAAAAAUGAUAGUUGUAAUUUGAAUUUUCCUGGAAGUCCAGGGACUAAAGUUGUAACAAAGUAUAAACAAGAAGAAGGGGGCUUUUAAAAGAGGAAGGAUGAGAACCUGAACUUUCAACCUUAGUGAGCUAGGGCAUAGAAGGGAGGACAGAAGCCAUACUGGGAAACUUGGAUUUGAUCAGAUAGGCAAAGGGAGCCACUUAUUAAGUUUUUAAAUAGAAAAAUACAUGAAGACAGUGGUGUUUUGUCCUUUAAGAUUAAACUGGAAGUGAUUUACAAGAUGGAUUAAAGUGGUGACAGACUGGAAACUCUGCUGAUUUGCCUGGCUUUUCCUUUGGAAUUUUCCUUGCUGGUUAGUGAAAAUAUCUUGUUUCUUGUUAUAAGGGAGAUUUAGCCCCAAAUAUGGAAAAUUUGACUUUCUUGCUUUAGUCUCUUCCUAGUGUUUUCAUUAAACACAGAGGUAUUACAGAGAAAUCAUAGGCUAGGCAUCACCUGGUGCUAUCUAGGUGAAAUCAGGUGUAAGUUUUAAUCUUCACACAUUUAUCAGCUUAUUAAAUGCUUUUCAUUCUAUGAUCACCAUGUCAAACUGUGGGAAAACAAGGAAACCAAUCCCAGCCCAUAAGGAAUUCACAAUUUAGUAUGGGGUGGUGAGCAUAUGAAAUGUAAAACUAAUCAUGGCACUGUGUGAGAAUGUCUGUGUACACAAUGUUCUUGGGAAUUCUGGAGAGGAAGUAACUCAACUGUCAGAGAAGGUUUGAGCCUAUUAGGGAAGGUAACAUUUGACUACCUCUACUGGACAGGCUAAGAAAGUGGCAAAGGCAGGCACACAGGUUUGGCCUCAUUAAACUUGAGAAAAAGCAUAAAGUGAUCAGAGACUUUGAGAAGAUCUUAGUACCCAGAGGGUAGGCUAUCUGGAGUCACACAACAUGAGUCUGCAUUGGGAGGUUAGAGCUGAAUUAUCAAAAUCCCUGUGGACUGUACUGAGGAGUUGAAUCCUGUUCUGGAGGCCAAGGAUCCUUAACAUUCUCUUUACAUCACUCUCUUUGCUGUGCCCUCCUGUGUCUUGAGAAGGCUCAUCAUCUCUCAAAGACUUUGGCAACAUUCUUUCAAAGUGUCUCCCUGCCCUGGCCCUGUACCUGUCCACCCUGCUAGCUGGGUGAUUUCCGUGGCUUAAAUGUGUCCCCCAAAAUUCACGUGUUAGAAACCUGACCCCGAAUGCUGCAGUGUUGAAAGCCAUACCUGUUGGGAGGUAUUUGAACCUUGGGGGCACUGCUCUCAUGAAUUAAUUAGUGCCAUUAUCAUGAGAGAGUUUCCUAUAAAAGAUGAGUUCAGUCCCCUCUUGCUCUCUUUCACCUUCCCUUUGCAAGGAUACCCUCACCAAAUGCCAGCCGCUAAAUCUUGGACUCAGCUUCCACAACCAUGAGUCAAUAAGUUCCUCUCCAUUCUAAGUUACCCAGUCUGUGGUAUUGUUAUAGCAGCACAAAACAGACUUAACAGUUAUUGAAGUUGGAUAUAACCCUGUUAUGGUAUGUUCCCUCCACAUUUGUAUGUUGAUGUCCUAACCCCCAGUACCUCAGAAUGUGAUUAUGUUUGGAGAUAGGAUCUUGAAAGAAGUAAUUAAGUUAAAAUCAGGUUAUAAGUUUGGACCUUAAUUCAGUAUAAACUAGUGUCUGUAAAAAUAGAAGAUUAGGACACAGACAUGUACGGAGGGAAGACCAUGUGAAGAUAAGGAAGGCAGACAUCUGUAAACCAAGGAGAGAGGCCUCGGAAGAAACAUCUCUACCAACACCUUGAUCUUGGACUUCCAGCCUCUAGAAUUGUGAGAAAAUAAACUUCUGUUGUUUAAGCCACCCAGUCUGUGACACUUUGUUAUGGCAGCCCUACCAAAGUAAUAUAUUCUGUCACUUCCUGUUUUGUAUGGUAUAAAGUCAGAACUUAUUAGCAUAUUCUAUAAAGUUCUUGAAGACAUUAUCUCUCUAGAACCCUACACUCUUCCUCACUGAGCUCUGCUCAAACAAGCUACCAACUUUAUUGUUUCUUCUGUAAAGUUCCUCAGUCUAAAAUGCCUUUCUGCACCCUCUUAUCCUAUUCUCUUCAUUUAAGAUUUGGGUGAGGCAUCACCUUCCCUAUUCUGUGUUUUGCAUUGGUCAAACAUAGCUGAAGAAAUCACCCCAUCCUCCCCCACUCUACUGAAAACAAACUUAUCUUAGAGCUCCUAACAUUUUAGCCUAUAUAUAUGUUUUAUUUGCACCACUAGACUCAACUAUGGAUAUCUUCAUUCAAAUAUAAUGUUAGAGUUCUGAUUACUGUCUCAGUACCUGACAUAUAACAAGUACUCAGUAAGUACUCUAAAAAUGAAUGAAUGUACAUUAAGUCUAGUUAUCCAGAACUAUAUAAUCUUAAAGGAAAUUGAUCCCCAUUUUGGUAUUCCCUAAUGAAUACCUACUACUACUGUGGUGAAUGCAGUUUGAGUGACCAAAAUGCUCAUAUCAGUUGAUUUAAUAUCUCAGAUAUUUCUGAAUAGCACAUUGUUUUUAAUCCAUCUAUACUUUUUAUGUACUACAUGCAGAUGCCUAUUUCAUUUUAAUGCCUGCCUUCUUUAGUUAUAUUUUCAGUUAAUAUUGUCAUUUUUUCAGUUCAGCCACAUUAAGCUUGAGAAAAAGCAUAAAGUAAUCAGAGAUUUUGAGAAGAUCAAAGUCACAUAGCUUUUCUAUGCCAGACACAGUUCAAUUCUGAGGGGGAAAAUAUUACUAAAUACUGUUUUUAUAGAAAGGAAUUCAGCUAGGCAGAGGACAUAUAAACCAACAAUUAUACUUCAGUAUGAUAGGACAAAGAUAUGUUCAUGGGGUGUAAUGACAGAGUGGUUUAAUUAAAUUGAAAGCAAAACCAUGUCCUACAUUUAGGUGUUAAUUCUAAGUUUUUUGUUUGUUUGUUGGCAAAAUAAUUAUUGUUUCUUGGUGUGUAUAUCUUCAUUAGAUGACUUUUUCCUGACCUCCUUCCCUUGCUCUGGAGAUACCUUAUUGGAACUCCCUAUGUGCUGUUUACACCUAAUGCCUGUGUGAGAAUGUCCAGAAGGCUCAAGCCUGCUGUCAUCCUCAUUAAAGAAUCACACAGAGAGAAGCUGCCUUUGGAGGACUUUAAUCCCCUCUUUCUUCACUUAGCACCUCAUAUAAAGCUAGGAUUGACAGAUAAUUCUAUCCUAGCUCUGAGGUCUUGCAAUAUGUGAAGGGAAGGAUAUUAGCAAAAGGGAGCUAUCACUGUUCUUUUUCAUCUGUCCCUAACAUAAGGACCUGACAUGUGGCUGCCCCAGUCUUUGAAGGGAAGUAGCAACUCCCAGUAGUUGGGUGUAUCUCAGAGAAAUCCAAAAGAAUUGUAAUGAAUCUAUAAGAGUUGACAAGCCAAUAUAAGCCACUAGCCAAUUCAAAAACAUAAAUAAAAUACCUGUGUAUCUGUCAAAAUAUUUCUAAUUCUAGUGUCUUUUGUAGAAUAUUCAUUGUCUGUUUUGUCCUCCUCUAAAAUCUACAGUAUAAAUAAAUACUGCCUGAUUGAUUAGCAGAUAAGCAUGGUUGGUUGACACAAUUACUGAUAGAAUAAGUGAUACUGAACUACAGUAGAGGUAUUUUUUUUUUUUUUUGGUACUGGGGGAUUGAACCCAAGGAUGCUUUACCACUGAGUCACAUCCCCAGCCCUUUUUAUUUUUUAUUUUGAGGGUCUUACUAAGCUGUUGAGGGUCUCACUAAGUUGCUUAGGCCACUUUGAACUUGAAAUCCUCUUGCCUUUGCCUCCCAAAUCACUGGGAUUACAAUCAGUCAUGAGCCACUGUACCUAGCUAGUACAGUUUUCUGAUAGCGAUAGUUAUUAACACAUUCUAAGGUGAUAACUAACUUAAAUUAUCUGGCCAAAAUGUUAUUGUUGGAAAAAAAUUGUGGAAAAAAAUACAGACUUCUUAUUAAAGUAAUUUUAAAAUCAAUUUCCCAUUUAUUUUAUGUAUUAUGCCAAUGAGGAAAUUAAGCUAGUAUUAUAUGCAAGUCAAAGUUAUUACUGUUUUAGUUUAAAAAUAACAAGUAAAUAUUGAGAAGAUGUAGGGAGCCAGGCAGAAUUUUCAACCUGGAACCCAAAUAGGAUAAGAGUUUUCAGGAACUCUAGAGACCCUAGAUCGAAGAAGAGUUAACUAGCAAAACAGUAACACUCCUCACAGGUGUACCCUUUGUUAUGCUUUUACUUAUCUGUUUAUACAUCUAUUAUAGUUUGAAUCCUAAAUGCCCCACCCUCUCAAGGCCCAGAUGUUGAGGGGUUAGUCCCAGGGAGACACUAUUGGGAGGUGGUGAAUGGUGGGGCCUAGUGGAAGAUCUUUAGGUCAUUGAGGAUGUGCCCUGAGGAGAUUGUGGGACCCCUGCCUCUUCCUUGUUCUCUCUUGGGCUUUCUGGCCAUGAGAUGAUCAGUUUUGUUCCGCCAUGUGCUUCUACCAACAUAUGCUGCCUUGCCACAAUACUUAUAGCAAUGGGGGUCAAUUGAUCAUGGACUGAAACCUAUAAGCCAUAUUAAACAUUUUCUCUCUAUAAGAUGAUUAUGGCAGGUAUUCGUUACAGUAAUGGGAAACUAAUACAACAUCUAUUCUUUCCACUAAGCUGUUAGUUAUGUAAAGUCAGGAAUGAGGUGUAUUUCUAUCUUUACAUUUCUAUCUUUAUAUAUACAUUUUGGAGGAUAUAAAAUAAAGAGAAAGAGGCCUGAAGAUAGCUCCAAAAGGGAAAAACAUGGGGGUUUCUUAGGAAUGUACUUGAAUAGUCUAAUAUUAUACCAAAAUAAUCUGAUAUGAGACUAUGUAUAUGGUUAGAGAAGUCUUCCCUGACUUUUCUAUUUAGAAUAGAAUGACUUCCCUCCAUUUCUCAUCACUGUGUUUAUUUCCUUCCCAGCAUUCAUCAGAGUCUGUAAUGGCCUUAUUAUUUGGCUAAAGGGUAACAUACCUCUUUUCACCUCAAGAUGAUUACGACAAAGCAGGAACCUAAUAUGUGGUCUUAUUUAUUACUAAUCAAUAAGGAUUUGUUGCUCAGUAACUAUUUGCUAAAUUGGGCACAGUGGCACAAACCUGUAAUCCCAGCAACUGGGGAGGCUAAGGUGGGGAUUCUCAAGUUCAAGGCCAGCUUGAGCAACUUAGACCCUGUCUCAAAAUAAAAUAAAUAAAUAGAAAGGGCUAUGGAUAUUGCACAGUGGUAAAGCACCCUGGGUUCCAUCCUCAGUACUACAAUUACAACAACAAAACUAUUUGCUAAAUGAAUCUGAAUGAAUUCAUAUGUGUGAUUUAAGCUGAAUGAAUGUUUAGUUUGUAUCCUGAACAUUUCUUACAUGAUAGAAAAGAGUACUUAUAUUCCAGCAGACAGUGGGCAGAAUGGGAGAUAAAAUUCUUCAAAAAGAAGAGCGCAAGAAAUGCCUGGAAUCCUGGUGUUUGAUCUCUGAAAGGGAGAGCUCUUCUUUUCACUCUUCUAAGUAACAGUGGAAAUUGACCCCUUGCCAGGGGAGGAAGGGACCUGGGUCGUGGUAUUCUUAUCUUCGAAGGCUUUCCUGAGUACUGGAGAUAGGGGCUGAAGGAGUUGUCACCAGGAACUGAACAACCUUGUAUUUAGCAAAAGUAUUCUGUAGCUGCCAUGUGUAUAUAUGUGCAAUAAGAAUUGUAAUGCAUUCCACUGUCAUUUAUUUAUUUAUUUUUAAAUCAAUUAAAAAAAAAAAAGAACCAAGGCCAUGAACACACACACACACACACAAAAAAAAAAUGUCUAAGAAAAUGGUUGUAACAGCAGCAGCUACAAAGCAGAGGUGUCUGAAGCUGCUGGAAAGGAUUCGUGUACUAGUUGCACUAACUGUCCUUAUCUCUUCAUCUCUUUGAUUAAAAAAAAAUCUUUUAAAAAUUAAGAAAAAAAGUUCGCUCACUCACUUUCCAUUUCUUUUUUAGUAUUAUCUGCUGUGUUUCUCUGCUCUUAUACUACUUUUGUUUUCAUCUCUAUUUCAGAAACAUUUUUUUUCUUUUAUUUCUCUUUCUUCAGUUCUGUCAUCUCAAAGCUGAGCUUUUUAAUGUUGUGUUCUUCCGCAUCUUGAGUUAUUUUCUGGGUGUUUUCAUGCCUAUUUUUAAAUGUCAGGUACAGUUUUGAGCCAUUUGGUGGACACAUCUUCCUGUCCUGUUUUACUUGUCUGUAGGGAUGAAUCUAGUUUGCUCUUUAUACAGUUGUCUCAUAAUUAUUUUGUAUGGAGUUUUCCCUCCCUGCUCUCCUGUGGUUAUUUCUAUAGGAAAUUAGUUCUUUAUAGUUUUCUUUUUUUCCCCCUUAAUUUUUACAGUGACACAGUAGGAGGAAAUCUUUUCUGACUUCAACAAGCUCCCUUUUUGUUGUUUUAUGGUCAAAACCUCAGUGACUUGUUUCUGGAUUCCCUGAACCUGUUCCCUCUGGAGCUUUCCUUUCCUCUGUCUCACCAUUUAUUUUUUUCUCUGCAGCUACAGCUUCUCCUCAGUGUGGAGCCUUGUUGCAGAUCCCAGCAGUAGAGAAUCAUGAAUUUGGUAGUGCCUGCAGCGCUGCGAUCUUGCCACUCCAGUGCUGCCCUGGCCCUGGUGUGCUGAGUGCUCACUGUCAAAGCUGCGGUAACACCAGCGGGGCUUGCACCUACUUCACCAGCUAGCUGUGCCAUCCCCGCAGCUGGCUGGCUGUUUUCUUCACCUGGCACAGACCCUGGCAAUCUUGUGACCUCUUGUGUUGUGAGGUGUCCUUGCUUUGUUGUAAAUGUCCAAGCGUUUGGGCUUUGACAUCCAGUUCCUUUUCUCCCUCUCUCCCCUCCCUGCCUCCUCUCUCUCUACCUUGGCCACACACCCCACCCCCAGCAGUCACUUUCAACUGCAUUUAAAGCGGGGGUCAAACAUGGGCCUGAGCAUAUAUGACCUUCCAGACAGGCUCUUUAAAUUAAAGAGUGGUCCUAAAUAUUUUUAAAAUGUAUUGUUCCUUGUAUUACCACGCCCUAUUUAGUUGCUUAUUUCUUUUCUAAUCAUUUGGGCUAUAUUCACCUUCACCUUCCUCCUCCACUCCAAGUUUAAGUAACCUGUCUAGUACACAAACAUUACCACAUCACUCAAAUUUAUUACCACAUGAUUUGUACUUCUACCGAACAAAUUAGGUAGGCAUGGAAGGGCAUGGAAGGCCUCCAUGAAUGGGGCCUUCCUCCCCAUUCUACCUGACUCCCUUCUCCUGGCCUUCAAACUCUGAAUAUUAAUUGUAUUGGACUGCUUAUGAUCAAGCACAUACAUAUUCUGUUUCAAGCUUCUAUGCUUCUGUGUAUCUUAUGGCAUCUGUCUAGAAUGCCUUUUCCACUUUUCCAAAUCUUCUGGCUAAUUCUUUUUCUUUUUGCUACUAGGGAUUGAACCCAGGGGUGCUUAACCACUGAACAUAUCCCCAGCCCUUUUUAUAUUUUAUUUUGGACAAUGUCUCACCAAGUUGCUGGGGCUGCCUUUGAACUUGAGAUCUUCCUGCCUCAGCCUCCCUAGCUAUUGGGAUUACAGGUAUACCCCACUGCACCAGGCUCUUCUGGCAUUCUUAUUGGACCUUCCAGAGUUGACUGUCCUUCUGAGAUCCCACAGCAUUUUGUAUUUAACUUUAUCUUGAUCUAUCUAGAUCAACUGAUCAACUUGCAAAUGUGUCUGUCUCCUCUGCCUGACAGUAAACUAGGGACCAUAUCUUAAUUGCCUUUAUAUCCCAGCCUCAAGCACUAGGCCUCAUAUAUAAAAAGUAACAUUGUGGGCUGGGGAUGUGGCUCAAGUGGUAGCGCACUCGCCUGGCAUGCAUGGGGCGCUGGAUUCAAUCCUCAGCACCACAUAAAAAUAAAGAUGUUGUUCCACGGAAAACUAAAAAAUAAAUAUUAAAAAAUUCUCUCUCUCUCUCUUUAAAAAAAAAGUAACAUUGUCACUAAUUCUUUCUUCUAUUUAUUCUUUCUGAGUUAUUUUACCUCUCUUGAUACUUCAGCUAUACACUAUUUUAUUUACUUCUGUGCUAUAUUAAAAUAAAAUACAAUGCUGGUUACCCCCAAAUUCCUGUUUUGCACUCCAGAGCACUUAUUCACUUUUUCAAUUCCUUGGAUAACAUCUGUGCUUUCAUGUCUCCUAGGAAUCCAAAAUCAACCAACCUUCUGUUAGUGUUCCAUCUCUUGACCAGUGGCACCCUGUUGAUCAUGCCAGAAAAUAAGAAUUAUUCUAACUCAUUUUUUUUAACUCCCAAACAUUAGGUCUUUUUGAUUCCACUUUCCAAGAUUAUCUUGUUUUUGUCUCUUUCUCUCCCUACCUACUAUCACUGCAUCAACUGAAAGCUAUAUCAUCUUUCAGGGGAAACCAUGAAAAAUUUUUAACUAUAUUCCUGUAUGUAUCUUGACUUCUCUAUUUUAUACAUAACAGACAAGAUAAUUCUUUGAAAACUAAACCCUGGUUAUUGUCCUUUGCUUAAACCAAUCAAUAGUUUUUAAUUGUUCUUAGCAGGAAAUCUGAAAAUCUUUAAGCUGAUCUAUAAGUGCCUUUCUAACUUUUGUUCUUGUUUCCUUUAAGUUCCUCAAAUUUCUGGCUUUUUCCCUGUCUGGAUGCUCUCUCCAUCCCACUUCCCCCUUACUAGGCCAAACUCAUACCUUAGCUUUAAUAUGGAAAGUAUUUUUUCUGCUUUCCUUUAUAAUCAUAUUACUUAUGCAUGCAUCCCUAAAUAACUGUGUAGUCUGGCUUUUUCUGAUACUUUACAUAACUGAAAUCACACUGUCUGCAUCACUUUGUGACUUUUAUUUUAUGUUCAACAUUAUUUUUAAAGGAUUCAUUUAUGUUGUUCAAUGUAUAGUUUGUGCAUUUUCACUGUUCUUUAAAUAUUCCACAUUUCCAUAAAAUCUAUUCUAGAUUUGAUGAACUUUAGGGUUUCUGGUUUGGGACUAUAAUGAACUAAGAAUAAUGCUACUAUGAAACUUUUGUACAUAUAUCCUGGUCUAUCUGAGCACUCAUUUAUUCAGAGUAUGGAUGAAUGGGGUGCCAAACUAUGUUCUACAAUAGACAUUCAUGAUUAUACUGUUAAGCCAGGUUUCCAUUACUGUAACAAAAUAUUUGAGACAAACAACUUAAAGGUUUAUUUUGGCUCAUGUUUUCAGGUUUCAACCCAUGGAUGUCUGGCUUCACUGCUGUUGUACCUGUAGUGGGGCAGAACGUCUUGGCUGGGAAUACAUAGUGGAGCAAAACUGUCACCUCAUGGCAUCCAGGAAGCAAAGAAAAAUAGUGGGAGGGUCUGGGGUCCCAAUAUCCCUUUCAUGGGCAUGCCCUCAGUGAUCUAACUUCCUUGCACUAGGCCCUACCUCCUAAAAGUUCCAUCAUCUCCCAAUACCACCCUAGACUGGCAGCCAAGCCUUUUGCAUAUAGGCCUUUUGGGGACACUUAAGAUCCAAACCAUAACACACUCCUAACCAAGAGUGUUUAAGUACUACACAUCCUAACUGACACUUUUUAAUUCAUAGCAACCUGAUGAAAGUAUAUUUUGUAUACACUUAUUAUAAAAUGACAUUUUAUAAAUUGAUAAUAUGGCAAUAUGUGGUCAAUUGUUUCUAAUGAUGGCCACAACAAUCCCUAUUACCCAAAUGCCCUUCUGCAAUGUGAUGAUUUUAUAGCUCCUCCAUUAAACAGUGGCAUCUCCUCUUUUCCCUAAAUGUGAGCUGGACCCAUGAUUUGCUUUAACUUAUAGGUCUAGUCUUAAAAAGCCUGUCAGCUCCACAUUUACUUUCAGGGAUCCAGCCACCCUAUAAAUAGGGUCAGGAUAGAAUACUUAGUAGUAAGAGACUACAUAGGGGGGCCAAAUCAGUCCCCAGUUAUUCCAGCUAUCUCAGCUGAAGUGUCAGACGCAGAGUAAAGCCAUCUUAGACAUCCAUGUUUCAGUGGAGCUUCUGCUGAAUACAGCUGCAUAAGAAACACCAGCCAAUACUAUGCAAAGAAAUAAUAAAUGGUUGUGUUAAACCACUAAGCUGUAGAUAUUUUGUUAUAAAGCAAUAUGUAGCUGAAUCACAACAUAUCAAAAACUUUAAAAUCUUAACUCCCUCUGUAUUAGUUUCUUUCUUCCUAUAACCUUUAUAUCUUAAGAAAUAUUAGAUGUCAUUUUUAAAUGUGUACAAAUUUUCACGGUAGUGUCAUUGGCAUGUUUUGAAGUAGAAAUGGCCUCUUUGUUCUAAUUUAAAAGAUUGCAAUAAAUUACAACACAUUCAUAAGAUAGAAUAGCAUGAAACAAAACUACACUGAAAGGAUUUUUGUUUUGCUCUGUCCAUACAUGUUUUUAUUGCUUCUUUUUAGUUAUGCAUGACAGUAGAAUCCAUUUUGAAAUAAUUCUAAAAGCAUGGAAUAUAACUUGUCCUAAUUCAGUCCCCAGUACCUCCCUUACAUUUUCCCUCCCCAACCCCCUACUCCCUUUCCUUUAUUGAUCUUUCUGCCAUUUACCCAUAGUUAUUUUUUUCAAUUAAUUUUUUGUGGAUGUACAUGAUGGUGAGAUUCACUGUGGCAUAUUCAUAUUCACGUAUAAGAGUGUUAUUUCAGACUCAUUCCAUUAUCUUUCCUUAUUCCAACCCUCUUCCUUUCCCUCAUUCCCUGAAAGGAUUUUAAUGACUUUGGAAAAUGCCAGAGAAAAAUACCAGGUGAUUUUUCUUCAUAUGUAUAAAUUUUAUCCCCAAGUUGUUAAAAAAUUGUACAUAAAGGCUAGAAAAAAUGAAUAACAUUAACACUGGUUUGGUGGUUUUGAUUUGAUUUUUCCUAUUCUUUGAAAGUUUCUACAGAGCAUAUUAUUUAUAUAAAGAGAGAAAAGAAACUAAUGUUGUCUUUUGACAUAGUAGAAAGUUUGUAGUCAAACUUGACAUGCUCUGGCAGAGAAAUUGUCAAGAUGUGACACUCUACCCUUGGUGGCCAUCAGUUCAGAUUUCAGGAGCAGACUCAAAAGGCUUGGUAGCUUGGAUUUUUGAAAUUUGAACAACAUUGAAUUUUUAACUGUUUAACUUUCUAAAUUAAUUUUUAAAACUCUACUGUUUUUACUCUUGGAAGUAGUUCAUAAAAGAAAAGAUAUCUUGAGGUCUUGAAAGUAGAAAGUAUAUAAUCUUAAAGGACAAUACACGUUUAAGUUUAUGAAUAACUAACUAUGGUCUUUCUAAUUUUCAUUUUGUUGUGGAUGGUAGAAACAUUAUUUGGGAGACUCUGGUCCAAAGAAAGAAAAACAACACUAAAAUGUAAAAUUAUACAGGGAUAGCAAAUGACAUAUACAUUCUUAAUCAGUAGGAAAGCAUCUAGGUUUCCCAAUAAAAUCAUCUUUGAAGUAGAGAGUAAAGGAACUUCUAGAGCCAUGAGUCGAGUUUGGCUUCUCUAUAGCAGUGUUUCUUCAAGUGGAGGUGCUUAUUAAAUAAUCAGCAUCCAAAGCCCCAUCCGAGACAAUUGUUAUUGAAUCUCUGUGAAUGUGGCCUAAGAAUUCUUCAUUGUUAACAACAUUCUCAGGGGAGUCAUACAUUAGAACUUGAAGGAAACACUGUCUUUGAGAGAUUCUCUAUGUUGAUCUGGUUAGUGGUUACAUGGCUGGAACAUAUGUAAAAAUUCAUCAAGAUGUACAAUUAACUUGUUUAUGUUAGUUACAUUCUAUUAAAAAGUAAAAAGAAAUAAAAAUGUUUCUAAAACAUAAUGUAGCCAAAUAAGUCAUUUAUUAUUUAGUAAAUUUUAAUUUACACUAGUAGCCAUAAUUUAUACAUUUGUAUUGUACUGAAGCAGAUUGUUUUGUAUUUUUGUUAGCAAACUUGGGCAUUGGUCAUUUUAGAAAGACUCUUUGACGUAUUUUUGGUUAGAUUAAACUACAUUUUUUUUAGUGGAAAAAGAAUUUUGGUUUAUAGCCAAAUUUGUUUGGAUACUGAUAUAGAUAAAAUUACUUUAAAGUUUAAAAUUUCAUAUUUCUUUAGAAAAAUUAUGAUUGAAGUAAAUAAUACUUUUAAACCCUGUAGUCUUUGUUUUGUAAAUGUGAAAAAUGCAAGUAUGGGAGGGAAGAGAGGAAAAAAUAAUGGAAGAAACAGUUGCCCUCAGGACAAAUACUCUAGCCCAUACUCUCAAAAUAAGACAUUUCAGAAAUUUUGAUUCUUAAGUUAAAUCUCUCAUGAUAUAUUCUUUGAUUGCCAUUUAGAACAGCCUUCUUAACUGUGUAAUAGCUAUUGCAACAUUUUAUGUUUGAAAAUAUUUUUGUUAUUGUUUAUGCUGGUAAUAUUUUUAUUUUUUAAUUUAUAAAUAUUUCUAUAUUAGAAAGAGAGAAGCAAAAACCACUGUGAUGGGAAGAGAACCUUUAGGAUUUUGUUGCCUCUAAUUUUGGUCCCUGAUUCAUCAUACACCUUCACAAUUUUAUUUCUGUGAGAAAGAGGUCUGUUUUCUCUUGGAAUGCCACAUUGUUUAGGGAUGAAAUGUUCGGAGUCUUUAACACUGUAUUAGAGUGCCUCUUGAGUAUUUAGCAUCUGGAUACAGCCGUCAUCACAGUCAUGAGAGAUAGAGCAGGCCAGAACUGACUCUGUCUAGGGGAAAUAUCAGGACUAACACCAAAUCUAACACAGCUCUUUCCAGUGUUGCAAAAAUAAUAUAUCAGUAAGGCAUCUCUAUGAAAAACUUCUGCAGGCUUGUAUCUAAUCUGAAUUAUUGUCACCCAGCCCAUUAUAUACAUGUAGUAGGAAAUUCUAAUAGUGAAUGAUAUUAUUAUGACAAUUUCAGGGGAUUAUAAAUCAUGAUUUCCAUAAAUAAAAUGGUUGAAGCCUAUUAUUGUAAACUCUGUUUUUCACAUACAUAUAUAAUAGUAUCUUUCUCUAUUAAAAUAAUAGUGCUAAAAUAUUGAAGGACUUCUGAAAUCUAAUAAAUUGUCCAUGUUUUCUCAACAAUGAUUGCCUUAGCAUCACCAAGAGAGACAAACUUCUAAGGGAGAUGGCCCAUCUGAUUUACCUGUAUACAUUAAAAACACUUGUAAUUCCAGCUACUUUGGAAGCUGAGGCAGGAUUGUGGUUCCAGGACAGUACUGGCAACAUAGUGGGAUCUUGUCUAAAAAAUAAAAAAUAAAACAACAACAACAAAAGUUUAUUUCUAUUGCUAUAUUCUAAAAAUCAGAAAUAUGUAAUAAAAACAUAAACUGGGAAGAAAAUAACUAAAAUGUCUGGUAAAACGGACAAUUAAAUAUUAUUAUGCAUGUAUAAAGAUACGUCAAGAGUGAGAUUGACAGAUUAUUACAUUUAUUUAGCACAAUGACUAGCUCUUGCUUAUGAAUAUUAUAGUCCAACCAAGGGGUACUUAUAAAAUCCCAUUUUACAGAGGAGAAGUUGAGAAACAAGAGUUAGAUAACAUGCCCACAGUCACACCAGACAGACUUGAGGCCAAUAAGUCUGACUUAGGAAUUCUUAUUCUUUAUCACUGUGGUGUGUGUGUGUGUGUGUGUGUGUAUGUGUGUACUGGGUAUUGAAUGCUCUGCCACUGAGCUACAUCUCAAGUUUUUUAUUUUGAGACAGGGUCUCACUAACUUGCUUAGGCUAGCCUCACACUUGCAAUUCUUCUGUUUCAGUCUCCCAAGUCACUGUGAUUACAGAUGUGUGCCAUUGCACCCAGCCUCUUUAUCACUUCUUAAACUCACAUAUGUCCAUAUAAAUAGCUUUAUUGAGGUUAAUUGACAAAAAAUGAAACAUACUUAAAAUAUACUUUUGUUAAGUUUUAAAAAACCAUUUUAGAUGUGCAAUUCAAUAGCGUUCACUUUAUCUGCUAUGUAACAGAUGUCCAGAACUUUGUAUCUUGAAAAACUUAUGCUCUAAACCUACUAAGAACAAUGUCCCAUUUUUCCUUUCCCUUAGACUCUGGCAGCCAUCAUUUUAUUUUCUGUUUCUAUGAAUUUGACUACUUUAGAUAACCCAUGUUAAUAGAUCAAUAAAUUAUUUGUCUUUUUAAAAAUUUGUUUAUUUCAUUUUGCACUAUUUCCUUCAGGUUCGUCCAGGUUGUAGCAAGUGUCAGAAUUUCCUUUUUAAGGCUGAAUAAUAUUCAAUUUCAUUUAUCCGUUCAUCUGUCAAUGGAUGAUAGGUUACUUCCACCUCUUCACUAUUGUGAAUAAUGUUGCAGUGAACAUAGGUGUGCAAAUAUCUCUUGACGAUCUACCUUUCAAUUCUUUUAGAUACAUCCCCAUACAUGGGAUUGCUGGGUUAUAUGGUAGUUCUAUUUUUAGUUGUUUGAAGAACUGCCAUGCUGUUUCCAUGGCAUCUGCACCAUUGUUGUUGUUGAGUUGUAGAAUAUAUAUAUUUUAAUGUUAAUCCCCAACAUAUGGAAUUAUAUUUUGCAGUAUGGUUUGCAUGCUUCUUUCCAUUGUACAUAUUUUGAACAUAUUACUUAACGUUAUUAAUAUUAUUUUGCUAUAAUAUAUAAAAUUAUAGCACACUGGCCCAAACUAGUCGUAUGGUCCUGCCCAAUUUCAUGGAAGGUACAAGAUGUGGGGGAAUAUAGAUUUUUUUGUAAACAGUAAAUCUUUCUGCCACACCUAGUGGAUAGGUUGAAUUCAAAAUGCCUUGUUUGCUCUGAACUAGGUUUGCAAGAUGAAAUAUAAGACACUCAGUUAAAUUUGAAUUUCAGAUAAAAGACGAAUAUUUUUAGCAUGAGUACAUCCCUUAAAAUGUUUGGGAUAUACUUAUAUACAACUCUUAAAGUGCUGAGUGUCUGAAAUUCAAAUUUUGAUUUGUUACAUCUGGAAACCUUACUUAAGGCUGCAUGUUUCAUGCAUGACAAAAACCCAUUAAAGUGAAGAAUUAUUAUCCUCACCAAAAGGUGUUUAAAUCAUAUUUAAAAAUUUCCAGGCCAUAUAGGCACAUCUGCAAGUUGAACAUUGCUAGCUAAUUCCCAACUUCAGUUAUGCCAUAUAGUAGGGUUGCUUUUGUUUUUGUAUUUUUGGAGUAGAGGGGAUUGAACCCAGGGGCACUUAAACAUUGAACCACACCCCCAGCUGUUUUAUUUUGAGACAGGGUCUCACAAAGUUUCUGAAGCUGGCCUCAAACUUGUGAUUCUCCUGCCUCAGCCUCCGAGGUACUGGGAUUGCAGGUGUGUACCACCAUACCCAACAUCAAUUAAAGAUGUGGCUAGCCUUCUGCAACUUACUUUGGUUGCCUAAAUCUCUCCUUUCCUUAUUUGUAAAAUUAGGAGUUUUCACUUGAAAAUCUCAAGUGUACCAUUUUCUUCAUAAAAUCUGUUAUCCUAUGACCCUAUCGUGUUAUUUCUGUAGUAAUAUGUCAGGAUAUUAAUGAGAACAUGGUACAAAUACUCAUAUCUGAGCACAUGUGCAUGCUUGCAUAUUCUCUCUCUCUCUCUCUCUCUGUUCCCUAGGAAGCUAUAUACUUAUCUGAUGAUGAUGCUGUUGCUUAAAUAAUUAUUACAAAAUAUUCUUUUGAUUGUCUUCCUUUAAUGGUAAAAUUUUUCCAGGAAGACAGAUUUGAUUUUUGGAGCCAAACAGAAGUUACUUGGAGCCAAGAACAAUGGGUCCUCAGAAUGAGACAUGUAGGUUUAUCAAAUAAACAAAACUGUUUUAUUUAUUUAUUAAAAUAUUUUUUAGUUACAUAUGGACACAAUAUCUUUUUUUAAUAUUUAUUUUUUAGUUUUUGGUGGACACAGCAUCUUUAUUUUAUUUUUAUUGGUGCUGAGGAUCAAACCCAGUGCCCCGCGCAUGCCAGGCAAGCACACUACCGCUUGAGCCACAUUCCCAGCCCUGGACACAAUAUCUUUAUUUUUGAGAAUCUUAAACCAUCAGUUAAAAGAAGUUAGUCUUAAAAGAGAAAUCCAAACAUCAGUUUUACUAAUUUAUCUUAAUAGAACUAUAGAUGUUUUAUUAUACAGAUCACAUCCCUGUAAUAAGUGCAUGGCCUCUGAUUUUGAAAGACUCACACUAAACUUAAUAUGUAAAUUAUGUAAGUUGCUAUAAAAAUUCACCCUCUAUCAAAGAGCUGGUGAAUCAUUGCUACUGAUGAUAAAGUAUUAAAAUACAAUUCCACAGGAUUUAUUACCAGAAUGCUCUUGAAAAUAACUUUUAUUCCAAGAUGCAUUUCCUUUUUGGAGAACUUUUCAACUAUGUUUAGGAAACAAAAAUAUCCAAUAUUGAUGGUUUCCAUCACUCAACAGAAAUAGAUAGAAAGAUAGAUCUAAAUUAUUCAUGAAAUGAUUCUAACAGCUUCCACUUUACACUCUACAUUGUAAAGAUCAUGUGAAAAAUGAAGAAAACAGAAAAAUGUUUUUGUUUUAAUGAAAAAGAUAACUGCUCAUAAUCAAAGAUAAAUUAUUUUACAUUAAAAUUUAUACAUUUGAAAAAAAAACUUAUAUUCAGAUAGAAAUAAACCAGAAAUCAAUCAGUCAGUCAAAACCAGAUAAGUUCAGUUACAUUUUUAAACCUGGACUAACAGGUACAUUUUAUUGACAUACCUGUGAACAGUAUUUAGAUGAUCAAGGAGGACAACUCUGAAAAGUCCCUACCAAUCUUUUUCUCUUUUCUACCCAACCUCCAACCUUCUCUUGUUUUUAUUUUUAUAGGGUACACAUGUGUUUUUGCACUGUGUAUGCAUAUACACUACGUAACAAGGAUAUGUUUAAGAGCAUCCAAAAUUCAAUUCAAAAUUAUUUUGGAACACAGUCUUGAAAUAUUUAUCUAAAAGUCUUUAAAUUUUACAUACCCUGAACUAUUAAUUGUAAUUUUACUAAUUUAUCUUAAUAAAACUGUAGUGUACUGAAUUGUGACCUCCCAAAAGAUAUGUUCAGGCCCUAAUCCCUGAAGGUGUGAAUGUUACUUUAUAAGAAAAAUGGGUGUUUGUAGAUGUAAAAUUAUAUAUAUAAAUAUAUAAGGUUUAUGUAUGUGGAUUAUAAAAUACAUAUUUUAUGUGUUAUAAAAUACAUAUUCUACAUGUAUACAUUUAUAUGAAUGUGUUGUCAGCUGACUUUUGUACUUAAAAGCCAAAGUACAACACCCAGGCCAUUCAUUACUUGCUACAGUGAACUAGAACCAUAUGUUUAAGAUGGCCAAGAUGCAAGACAUAGCAGAUUUGGAUUUCAGAAUAAAAGUUGGAUUGAGGGUACUUAAGAGAAUAGUCAGACCCACAACAUACUUUGUAUGUAUCAGAAAUAAAACUUUAUCUGUUAAUACUCUGAAGUAUUAGAAGUGGUUUGUAAUCUAUCCUGACUAAUCUUCCAUGAUAGACUAAAUAAUUUCUGAGUCUAAAUUUGUUGUUUAAUCUUUAUGGAGUUGCCAUCAAUUUACCAGACUGGCUUGGAGGACUAAAUAAGAAUUAUAGCUGAAAAUCUUUAGCAUCUUUGUGCUGCAUGGUAGGCUGCAACAAAUGAGAACUAUAUUUAAUAAUAAGAAGUCCAUUAUGAAUAUUAUCAUUGAUUCUAUUCAUAACAAUUUUUUUAAAUUGGUAUUAUUAUCAUUUCUUAUAACAAUCUGAUGUGAGACUUGGAGUGGUUAAGCAAUUUGCUCAAGGUUAUUUCACAAAGCUCUUCUAAAUAUAGAAGUAGCUUUUUAUUCCAGGAAAGUCUGACUCCAAAAUCCAUAUUUUUCAAUUUAUGCCACAUAAACAAUCAUCUGUGACAUAUAGAAGUGCAUCAUUUUGACAUUCAUUUAUUUUAAAAAUAUUUAUUGAUUGCUAGCCAUGUAAGCUACUUGAUGUUAGCAUUAGAGACACAAAGGUGCACAACCAGAUUAAUCUUGUCAUUAAAGAAAUCUCAGUCUUUCUCAGGUAAGUAAAUAUAUCAUUGUGGAUUAGUACAACAACUUAGGUAAUUAUGUAGUCCCAUCAAAGCCUAAGCUGACUCCAAUAGGUGGUUCUGCAGCCAAGACAGCUCGUCGAAAUUGUACUGAGUUAGGAUUGUAUUUUUAUAUUCCCAUGUUGAUGGUUCUUUAGAUAUCAGCUAUUCAGAGCUGGAGGCAUGACUUGGGACAAGGCAGUUUUAUUUAACUGAGGGAAUCUUGAUAGAAAGAUGACAGCUGAAGACCAUCUUCUAACAGCAUGCCCAGAAGCUGGGGAAAUAAAACCUAAUGUCUACCAUAAUUCACUCCUUGCAUUACUCGAUAUUUUCACUGAUUCUGCAAGCAGCUCUCCAUAAGCUUGUCUUCCUGAGGAAAAUGUGGGAAAAACUAGAGUACUCAUUGUUGUAGAAGGUCAUAGGGCCAAAACUAAUAAAUGACCCCAUCCUCUAUUAUGUAUUCUAGAUCCCUGUACCCCUCAGCUACCAACUCUACUGGUCUCUGUGGACUCACUGAUUGGUGGCAUGACCAAGACUCUCUUCUCUGAGGCAUUUGUGUCACAAUUUAUCAUGGCUUUCUCUGGCCGAAGUUACUACACUGGUUAUUUACCAUCAGAACUGAAGAAGUAAAUACCAAGGGUCAUCUGAGUUGGUCACCUGGGGUUCCACAUGUGUUCCAACAAGGUCUACCUCUUCCUGAUGAUCAGAAUUAAUUUUCUCUGCAAAAGUGGUGACUUCCUAUCUUGCCGACUGGACUCUGCUGCGGUUGGCCAUGGGGCCACAACUAAUAACUGACUCUUUCCCUCACAAGAAGCCCAGGAAAUAGCCAGUGUGUAAUUCAACUGGACUCUUUCUCUGUCCCUGUGGAAAUGUACUUUACAGAUCCCAGAAGACUAUAUACUACAGUAAGAAAGAGAACUUUAAUUUCAGUGAGGAUCAAUUGUUAAGGUGUUUAAAAAUUUAGUGGACAAAAAGAACAGGAAAAAGUACAAAAGAAGACCACAAAGGAAGCAGUUGGCUCGAAGAGGAAAAACAGAAGUGUGUGUCAUCUCUCAAGUCAAAAGAAAAACAUAUUUCAAGAAAUGGAGUUUUAUCAAUUAUUAUCAAAUGCUGCUCCAGGAAAAAUACAGUAAGUUGAGGAUUUAGAAUAGACCAUUGUAUUCAGCAAGAAUUAGGGGCCCUGAGGAAUUAUUUUUGGUGGAGAGGAUGAAAUGAAAACCUGAGUUGGAGGAAGUUAUAAAUACAAAAGGAAGAAAAUAAAGUGAAGAUGGUAUUGAAUAAAGCUGUUUUUCUGUAAAAAGGGAUCAGUAAAGAAGGUAGCUUGUGGGAACAGGUGCAGAGGAAUUUUAAAAACUUGUUUACUUUUGGUUUUAUUUUUUAAGGUGGGAGAUAGUAUGGUAUUCAAGGAAACUGACCCAAAGGAAAUGCAAAGAUGCCUAAUUAUUUUUUGGUCACAGAUGCUUAACAAGAAGUUCUCAGUAACUAUCACUCUGAUUAUUUUAUACUAUUUUAAAAAUAUGAUUUUGAUAAUUAUUGAUAAUUAUAAAUACCUACUUUAUUAAAUUUUUGAUUUCUAGCAAGUUUUCAAAUAAUAUUAUCCAUGUAACCACAAUCUCAGAUGUCCGUGAAUGUUGCUGUGAAAAUUAAGAAUCAAACUGCUUAUCUCUUAUGACUAUAUGAGAAUAAAAUUACACACAUUGUUUUGGAGAAAGGA
rnacentral:lncRNA from 1 species